rnacentral:tRNA from 1 species
GGAGAGGUACGAAAGUGGCCGAAUCGGGCGGUUUCGAAAACCGCUGUACCCGCAAGGGUACCGAGGGUUCAAAUCCCUCCCUCUCCG